UACGUAGGGUGCGAGCGUUAAUCGGAAUUACUGGGCGUAAAGCGUGCGCAGGCGGUGAUGUAAGACAGGUGUGAAAUCCCCGGGCUUAACCUGGGAACUGCAUUUGUGACUGCAUCGCUGGAGUGCGGCAGAGGGGGAUGGAAUUCCGCGUGUAGCAGUGAAAUGCGUAGAUAUGCGGAGGAACACCGAUGGCGAAGGCAAUCCCCUGGGCCUGCACUGACGCUCAUGCACGAAAGCGUGGGGAGCAAAAGGG
rnacentral:rRNA from 1 species